rnacentral:rRNA from 1 species
AACGAACGUUAGCGGCGCGCCUAACACAUGCAAGUCGCACGAGAAAGGGCUUCGGCCCCGGUAAAGUGGCGCACGGGUGAGUAACACGUGGGUAAUCUGCCCUUGAGCGGGGGAUAACAUUCCGAAAGGAGUGCUAAUACCGCAUAAGACCACGGCUUCGAAAGGAGCAGCGGUCAAAGCUGGCCUCUGUACACAAGCUAGCACUCGAGGAUGUGCCCGCGGCGCAUUAGCUUGUUGGUGAGGUAAUGGCUCCACAAGGCUAAGACGCGUAGCUGGUCUGAGAGGAUGCUCAGCCACACUGGAACUGAGACACGGUCUAGACUCCUACGGGAGGCAGCAGUGGGUAAUCUUGCGCAAUGGGCGAAAGCCUGACGCAGCAACGCCGCGUGUAGGAUGAAAUCUUUCGAGAUGUAAACUACUGUUAGAGGGGAAGAAAUCCCGGUUACGCCGGGAGUGACGGUACCCUCAGAGAAAGCCACGGCUAACUCUGUGCCAGCCGCCGCCGUAAAAC